UGGGGAAUAUUGCACAAUGGGGGAAACCCUGAUGCAGCGACGCCGCGUGAGUGACGAAGUAUUUCGGUAUGUAAAGCUCUAUCAGCAGGGAAGAAAAUGACGGUACCUGACUAAGAAGCCCCGGCUAACUACGUGCCAGCAGCCGCGGUAAUACGUAGGGGGCAAGCGUUAUCCGGAUUUACUGGGUGUAAAGGGAGCGUAGGUGGCAUGGUAAGCCAGAAGUGAAAACCCAGGGCUCAACUCUGCGGAUUGCUUUUGGAACUAUCAGGCUGGAGUGCUGGAGGGGUAAGCGGAAUUCCUAGUGUAGCGGUGAAAUGCGUAGAUAUUAGGAGGAACACCGGUGGCGAAGGCGGCUUACUGGACAGAAACUGACACUGAGGCUCGAAAGCGUGGGGAGCAAACAGG
rnacentral:rRNA from 1 species